rnacentral:misc_RNA from 1 species
GUGCACACAGCGCUCGCAUUUUCGGGCCCUGGGGCCUGUUUCCGGACGGCGUUGCUGUCCGUGCGGCUCGCUGCUGUGCGUCUGUGGCGGCGGGGGCAUUCCACCCUCUCCUGAACCCGCGCGUAAGCGUGUGUCUGCGCACAGCGAGCUCACGGCUUGCCGUUGUGAAGGGGCACACAGGGGGGAGGGGGGGCAGCCAUAGACACGCGACAGGGGAAGCGCAUGCAGCGCGAGGCAGAUGUGCGCGUAGCCGCAUCACUGCGCGCAAGACCACAGCGCGAAGCGCGCUGCGCUUCGGGCUUCGAGCAACCCGCGAAUCUCGCGUAGCAUACCGGGCACAGCGCCUGGUAUGCCGCCCUCACAGCGAACACAGGCAGGGGAGGGGUGGCGGUGCCGCCUGCUGCACCGCCUGCCUGCGCUUCGGUGUGGGACAGACGCCGGCAAGGAGCGCGUGUCGCAUCGUGUAGUGCCGUAGCGGGGGCUGUCGGCCUGGCGUGUGAGACCGGUGGCCGGGUCCGCAAUCCAUGCAGUCGGAGUCGGCGCCCCUGGCAUGGCUGGCUUUGCAAGCGUGCCCGCCACGUCGUUGUGCACCAGCUCCCAAGGGUCAGAGACGGGCUGGAGUGAGGGGCGAACGCGACAGGCCAGCAGACCCGGCACCUGUGCCCCCCCCGCCAAUGCGUCGCGAUGUGCCAUCCUCCACCGCUGUCAGGCCGGUGCGGAGCGUCUUGAGGAGGGAGAGCGAGUGCGCAGCCGCAGCCUGUUGCCGCGGUGCCUACGAGUGCAUGGUGGCAGUAGAGCAUCGCGGCGGCUUCUGACCGGAUGCCUGCCUGCAUGCCCGUAUGAGAGCUGCCGAGGCAUUGUGGCGGCACCGUGAUCCGGCCUGCACACCUGCCGCGCCAAAUGCGCGAGGUGGUCUGCUCGCGUGAGGGCGGAGAGGUGUGCAGUUGACUUCGGUGUCGCGCGCCGAAGAGUGUGCAGCACCUCGUUCUGGGGGCACUCAGCUCCACGAAGUGCUCCCGUGUCCAGUGCUCCGCCCUCCAGCGGGCGGAUCGUAGUGUGGUUCGCGUGACAUCUUUCGCUGUGGAGAAUGUGAGGAGUGCGAGGUCAUCAGCGAAGAAGGCGCGGCGUAGUCCGGGGGUCUUGAUGCGCUGCGCACUCAGCCGGUCCACCACCAUGAUGGAGAGAGAAGGGCCUCGGGCCGAUCCCUGUGGGACCCCGCACGGAAGCCGGGCCAUCUUGGCUUUCCUCGUGCGGAAGCAAGCACAAACACGACGGCAGGCCGACAAAGUCAUGAUCCGGCGAGUGUGGUUCGGGUCUGCGUUGGACCUCCUCAGCACCGUGAUCUAACGAGCCAGGAGUGCGAGCGUGGAGCCGUGAGGAGGGAAGCCCGGCUGCUGUGGCUGGGGGCCUCUCCUCCAGACGGCUGCGCAGAUUGCUGGUCAGCGUUACAGGGUGGUAAGACGCGGGGCCAUCAUCGGGCUUGUGCGGCCUCAGGAGGUGCUCGCUGUGCCCCUCUUUUCCAGGUAGCAAGGACGCGGCCGGUGGCGACGCUCUCACUGCAGAUGUUCAGCAGUGCCCUCUUGCCUUGCAUCCGGAGGGCCUUGACGCUCUCAGAGUGGGUUCCGUCGAGGCCCCCGGCCGAGCGGCAGUGGCGUUCGCGGAGCGUCAUGUGGAGCCGACCCACCGCGAAUGGCUGGAAGGGUGUGGAGCUGGGUCUCAGUGGGACGCGGGGUGGGGCUGCCGGGUGCCGCACCGACUUCGGCUUUUGCAUCGCCAAUUCGUUGGCCUGCUCUCUCGCGCUGUGGUGGCGGUAGCCUUGCAUCAUCGCUGGGGGUGCCGGGCCAUAUCCCCCCUCAAAGUGGAGAGUGGACCGGACCGCGCACGGGUCACUUGGCGCCGUGGUGGCGGCGCCCCGGUCCUUGAUGAAGCAGCCGAGCCCCGGGGUGGCGUCCGGUGACGCUUCCGUGGCCCCGUCUGCGCUGCGCCGUGCCGGGGUGUCGUUAUCGCCUGCACAGGCCAGGCAUCCGCCCUUAAGCCGGUCGUGCGGGGGUGGCCCCUGCCCGGUCGGAUCGUCCUUUCGCGUCCCACGCCGGGUAGUGCGAGCUGGCGCCCACUCGAAUCAUGCGAGAGCUGAGCGCGACGUUGCUUGGCACCUGAUGGAGAGAACUUCCCGAGUCACCAGGUCACUCUUAGGGGUGCAGCCGGAGGUGAGGUGUGUAUCCGUCUAGUAGGGCCACCGCGGCAAAGCCAGAGCGCCCUGCUUAAACAUCGUUCUUUGGAGCGGGAGGGGGAGGGCGCACACCUGUGCGCAUGCCCUGUUGUGCGAGCACGGAGACGCGACAGCCGCGCUUCUUUCCUCCUGCUGCACCGGCACGCUGAUAACCCACGAGGCCGAAUGCCGUGGUGGCAUGCCCUCCUCUCGCAGAAUGCAGACUUGCAUCGAGGAUUCGCCAAGGAGCCAGGCCCUACCAACACCGUUCGGCGCCGUUUAGUCCAGCGCAAGGCCACGGCAGCACACAGCGCAGGCUCGGCCCGGGAUCACGCUCAACACCACCGCAACGCAGCCAAAGCCGAGAUAAAACGGGAGGCGGACGCGUACGCGUGCUGAACCUUCGACACGAUUCGCAGUGAGCUUCUCCGAACUGCUUGAUGGUCGCACGUCUCUGCAGCACCGCGCUGACCCAUACCUGUCCACGGACACCAAGAGCCCGCUAUUCAUACCCGAGGGCAGGCUGCAGCUCUCGGUGUCCCCACGAAGAGUGGGUGCAGUGGCCACCUCGAACAAAGGAAGCCUUGAUAUCAAUAACGUGUUUUGCGUUACCGACGGCUUUGUUCCGCCUGUAUGUCGUCCGUAUGAGGAUGUGCAUGCCGGAAGGAAGGUCUUCUGCGUAGCGUGUGUAGCUACUAUGGAUGCUUUCUCUCUGCCUCUCUUUCCCUCUGCCGCUACCUUUGCCCACCCUCGCUUUUCCGUCCUCCUGUGCACCGUGUGGCCCCUGCGCACACAUUUGCAUACACACACACACACACACACACAUAG